rnacentral:rRNA from 1 species
CAGCCGCCGCGGUAAUNCCAGCCCCUCGAGUGGUGGGGAUGAUUAUUUGGUNUAAAGCGUCCGUANCCGGCUGAGUAAGUUUCCCGUAAAUCCAGCGUCUCAAGCGUUGGACUGCGGGAAAUACUGCUCAGCUAGAGAGUGGGAGACGUCAACGGUAUUCUGGGGGUAGGGGCGAAAUCCUUUGAUCCCCCGGAGGACCACCAGUGGCGAAGGCUGUUGACAAGAACACGUCUGACGGUCAGGGACGAAAGCUGGGGUAGCGAACCGGAUUAGAUACCCGGGUAGUCCCAGCCGUAAACGAUGCAUGCUAGGUGUUAGGUUGGCCACGUGCCACCCUAGUGCCGCAGGGAAGCCGUUAAGCAUGCCACCUGGGGAGUACGGCCGCAAGGCUGAAACUUAAAGGAAUUGGCGGGGGAGCACCACCAGGCGUGAAGCCUGCGGUUUAAUUGGAGUCAACGCCGGGAACCUUACCGGGAGCGACAGCAGAGUGAAGGCCAGGCUGAAGACCUUGCCAGACAAGCUGAGAGGAGGUGCAUGGCCGUCGCCAGUUCGUGCCGUGAGGUGUUCUCUUAAGUGAGAUAACGAACGAGACCCGUGCCACAUGUUGCCAUCAGAUCCUAUAGGGAUGCUGGGCACUUUUGUGGGACCGCAGCCGAUAAGGCUGAGGAAGGUGCGGGCAACGGCAGGUCAGUAUGCCCCGAAUCUCCCGGGCCACACGCGGGCUGCAAUGGUACGGACAGAGGGCUGCAACCCCGAAAGGGGAAGCCAAUCCCUAAACCGUAUCUCAGUUGGGAUUGAGGGCUGCAACCCGCCCUCAUGAACAUGGAAUGCCUAGUAACCGCACGUCAUCAUCGUGCNGUGAAUACGUCCCUGCCCCUUGCACAC